GAUCUCCCGCUUGCGGGGGUGAUUAGUGGCGAACGGGUGAGUAAUACGUGAGUAACCUGCCCUUGACUCUGGGAUAAGCCUGGGAAACCGGGUCUAAUACUGGAUACGACCUCUCGUCGCAUGGUGGGGGGUGGAAAGGGUUUGACUGGUUUUGGAUGGGCUCACGGCCUAUCAGCUUGUUGGUGGGGUAAUGGCUCACCAAGGCGACGACGGGUAGCCGGCCUGAGAGGGUGACCGGCCACACUGGGACUGAGACACGGCCCAGACUCCUACGGGAGGCAGCAGUGGGGAAUAUUGCACAAUGGGCGGAAGCCUGAUGCAGCGACGCCGCGUGAGGGAUGACGGCCUUCGGGUUGUAAACCUCUUUCAGCAGGGAAGAAGCCACAAGUGACGGUACCUGCAGAAGAAGCGCCGGCUAACUACGUGCCAGCAGCCGCGGUAAUACGUAGGGCGCAAGCGUUGUCCGGAAUUAUUGGGCGUAAAGAGCUCGUAGGCGGUUUGUCGCGUCUGCUGUGAAAGCCCGGGGCUCAACCCCGGGUCUGCAGUGGGUACGGGCAGACUAGAGUGCAGUAGGGGAGACUGGAAUUCCUGGUGUAGCGGUGAAAUGCGCAGAUAUCAGGAGGAACACCGAUGGCGAAGGCAGGUCUCUGGGCUGUUACUGACGCUGAGGAGCGAAAGCAUGGGGAGCGAACAGGAUUAGAUACCCUGGUAGUCCAUGCCGUAAACGUUGGGCACUAGGUGU
rnacentral:rRNA from 1 species